GUCAUACGUGUAAAUACAUAGACCAAUAGUUGUGACUCUAUAGUUAGAAUUGUGACUCUUGGAAAGACUAUUGAACUCACAUUACAAUGUGUAAAUGAUUGAUCAUUUCAAUAUAAGUUAAUAUAUUUCCAACAAGUAUUGGAUGAUUGACUUUGACUGCAUAUCAUAACGACUCUGACUGGUGGUAUGUGCCUCUCACACUCAGUUUCAGUUUCACAGGCCCUCUAUUAACUACCAUUGGAGAAUGUGCCUGAGGACACAAUCAACUGGAACCCAGGACCCAAAAUUGCUUCGUGUUAGUACCCGUAGAUUUCAUGAUGUGGUGUUCCUUCGAAUUAACACAACCCCUCGGCACAAUCCAGUAUGUCCAGACACCUACAUCGACAUGAUUGCAGCAUGGAUGAGUUUUGAUCUAGACGAUUACGGGUAUCAUAUUUAAGCUUAUUCCACGCUUGCCUUUCUUGGAUUCUCAUAAAAUUAUUAGGGGCGCCAAUUCGGGCGUGGACUGUAAUCUCUGCUUCUUGUCCCCGUGGAGCAGAACUUCCACAGGUAGACGAUCAUAAUCUAAAACUCCUCAUACGUGAUAUAGUAACCACUGGAUCCGUGGAUGGAAGAGUGUUGCAAAGGAUUGGAAUUGGAUUGAAGAGGAAGCUUUCAAUGUCUCACGUACAUCAUCCCGACGGUGACAUUCGAACUGGUGCACCCGAGAUAAUUGAUUCUCGUGCCAAUUGUCCUGUGUGGCGUUGACAUUGACAUGAACAACGACGUUGACAUAGACUGGAACUUAGGGUCACUACGUUGCGCUUCGCUCAUGAUCACACGCAUGUUUUUAAUGUUUAAUUAUGACUGUUUUGUUUUGUUUUAUGUGUAUUUUUUUUUUUUUUUUUUUUUUUUUUUUUCUGGAACUCUUUAAUCAACAGAGCCAUGUUCAGAAGGUAUGAAUCAACUAGCCAAGUGCUAAUGUCACGAAGGAAGCACAAGGGACGCUUCUCGAGGGCAGAUUCCAAGAGCUACGACUUCCAGAUUGCAGUGGCACAGCUUUCCUAAACCUUCGGCUUGGCUUCUCAACACUUGAUUGCAAGCUGUCCUCGAUGCAUUCUCGCGUCUCGAAUUCUUCACCAACCAGACCACGCUACCGCAACAAAACCACAAGCUCUAAGAUCCGACUCUACACAACACAAACCAGUCAACAAAAUGACCAGCUCAGCAGACGCCAUACGAGAGACCUAGACCUGAUCUCAGCGCCAGUUUCCACAUACACACAAAACCUUGCAGAGGCAACCUGAAGCGAACUAACCCCAACCCACAUGCCUGGUGUGCAUAUCUAUUUCCCUCUCACACACACAAUGAGAGGACACCGUUCCAACAUCCCCAAACUCAUAAAUCCCUCUGAGAUUCGGACCAAGCACCGACUCG
rnacentral:lncRNA from 1 species